rnacentral:rRNA from 1 species
AGACAGAGGUGGCAAGCGUUGUUCGGAAUUACUGGGCGUAAAGCGUACGUAGGCGGUUCGGUAAGGCCUAUGUGAAAUGCCAGUGCUUAACACUGGAUCGACGUAGGCGACUGCCGAGCUAGAGGUUGGGAGAGGAGAGUGGAAUUCCCGGUGUAGCGGUGAAAUGCGUAGAUAUCGGGAGGAAGGCCGGUGGCGAAGGCGACUCUCUGGAACAAUUCUGACGCUAAGGUACGAAAGCGUGGGUAGCAAACAGGAUUAGAUACCCCAGUAGUCC